GCCUCUUUAGCUCAGUUGGUAGAGCAGCUGAUUUGUAAUCAGCAGGUCGCGAGUUCGAGUCUCGCAGGGGGCU
rnacentral:tRNA from 1 species